GUGGGGAAUAUUGGGCAAUGGGCGAAAGCCUGACCCAGCAACGCCGCGUGAGGGAAGAAGGUUUUCGGAUUGUAAACCUCUGUCCUUGGGGACGAAGAAAGUGACGGUACCCAGGGAGGAAGCCCCGGCUAACUACGUGCCAGCAGCCGCGGUAAUACGUAGGGGGCGAGCGUUGUUCGGAAUGACUGGGCGUAAAGGGCGCGUAGGCGGCCGAUUAAGUCUGGAGUGAAAGUCCUGUUUUUAAGGCGGGAAUUGCUUUGGAGACUGGUUGGCUUGAGUGCGGAAGAGGUAAGUGGAAUUCCCAGUGUAGCGGUGAAAUGCGUAGAGAUUGGGAGGAACACCAGUGGCGAAGGCGACUUACUGGGCCGUAACUGACGCUGAAGCGCGAAAGCGUGGGGAGCGAACAGGAUUAGAAACCCGGGUAGUCC
rnacentral:rRNA from 1 species